UGGGGUGGGGUGUAGUGGAUUCCAGUAUGCAUGUUGAUAAUUUUCUAUUUUUAACCCUUGGGGGCCGUCUUUCAUUUUCCUUUAAUUGUUUUUGUUCAGAGCUGCAGUGUCCUCUUUUUAAAUUGCAGCUCCUAUCAACUCCCCUGAUCAACCCCCUGUGCAACAUUGCAGGCAGACAAGUAAACAACAGGGUUGCCCUUUCCCAUGAUGUAGUGCAGAUGCUUCAGUAAAAUCGGUGACACUUUUAUCACUGCACAUACACACGUAUAUAUGCAGCCACUUAUAGUUACAUGACAUGUCAUGAGAGCAGCUUUGAUGAUCAAAAUGAGCUCAACAAAUGAUGUUUUUGGCCUUGAAAGUUGAAAAACCAGGUGAGUGAAAACAGAGGUAACAGGUAAAUGCUCAUUCCUGAUGUUAGAGUGCAUCAAGGUUGUUCCAGCCACUCAUAUUUUACAUACCUUCUUGAAAUUACGUUUGUUAACCAUGCAUCUGAAAAAUGUUUCAUGAGACUUUUUAUCACCUGCAGAGCUGAGCUUUCUUUCUGGGCUUUUUAGUCAUAAGUUACCAAAAAGUUCACCGCUGACUACAUAACCUUCAUACGGAGGUUUGACCUGACAGCAUAGACAAGACCUGACACAAAGAAACUCAAGAGAGGCCAUGCACAUGAUCUGUAAACCCUUCAAAAAUUGAGUAAUUUUCUUUGUACAUGAAGCAGAUAGCACUUUCCUUUGCAAAGUGGGGGAUUUUUUUUUUCAUUCACUGCAAAUCAUCAGCUGACAAGCUUCGCUAAGAUGUUUAGCCUCUCCAAGUAUCUUCCCACUGGCUGAAGAUAUGAUAAAAUCAAAAAGCAGACAAGUAAUUACACUGUAUAAUAGGCAAGAUUGGCAUUUUCAAAAUCAUUUUCAUGUGGAUGGAAAUGACAUUGCAUAGACUAUUCUGUAUUCACUGGUGCAGAUAAAUAAACAAGGCAUGGAGAAGAAGGGGGGCAUACAGAACGCACAGUACAAUGGCAAGCAGGUCAGUAAUUAGAAACUCUGUUUGCACAGUAAUAAUUUUAAUAUAUUCAUCAGGAAACAGAGCAUGCCUAGCAUGAUAAAAUCCCAUCAAGGAACAUAUCCCGACUGCCUUAACCUUUUAAACAGGCUGGCAGCGCAUUGUUGGGAACUGAGAGAAGAAAAUAAGACAUAAACACAUGUAUACUCCGAUGUUUUAAUAACAUGCAGCUACAUCCAUCCCUGUAUACUCAGAAUUGAACAUUAUCAGUAAUCAUUAUAGCCUCUCUUUUCUUAUGCCUGAAUUCUUAAAUCUUGAUCAGAGGCUUUAAGUGCUUACUGACUUUUUGACCCCCCUUUAUCAAAGUGUUACCAGGCUGAAGCCCCCCCGACACAUAGAUAUGUAGGGCUGCUUGUGUGCGUAUCAAGAGCAGCACAUGUGUGCAACCUUGUUUGUUAUUGAAGGUGGCAGUGAUGAUGCUAUGGAAAUUAUUGCAAAUUGCUUAAAGGCCUCCUGACACGCAAAAACCUUGACCUCACAAUGCCAUUUCCCAAAGACAGAGGAAUGUGUAAUUGUUGGAGGAAUUCAAGGUGGAGCCUCAAGGUAAUCACUCUGAACAACAUUUUUACAGAAGUGAGAAUAGCUCAAAGCCAUCCAUGUGUGAAAUUUAUGGCUGCAUGCAUGCACACAUAUAUAUUAAUGUGAUAAACACAGGUAAAGCAAAACGUACCAGCAUGUAAUAAAGUUCUUUUACACUUUAGGUUAAGAGGCAUUUUUAGCUCUAGCAUUACACCAUAGUAAUAAUUUGUAAUGAUGACAAAUUUAAAUAACAGGAACAUACAAAUGGACUCUCAUCUAAACAGAAGUUUUAUAGAAUAACCCCCUCUUUGCUGUUGCCACUGCCAGUCUAUUGUCUAAAUUUCCGGGUUUCAUUUCCCACACAUAAACUCAGAAACUAACAAGUUAACGUGACCUCAUUCUACAUCUAACAACCUCUAAUUACAUGAAGUGGAAGCCGCAACAAGAAUAAACUUCUCACUGAAUAGGUCUGUACUUGGUGCUUUCUAGUCUGCAUUUUAGUCUCGCCUAGAGAACACACAGCAGAGAGAGAAAGUGACCAUUUACUCAUGCAUAUUUGACAGCACCUCGUAGGCCCCUUUUUAUGCUGUCACUCCUGGCUUCUAUUCUUUCUUUCCCCCCAGGAAAGGACAGAGUUGGGGGCUUGAGGGCAGCUACCUCCACAGUCCCGCUGUCCCCUCCUCGCCUAAUUUUUGUUGUUCGGCCCUUUGAAACCUCAGUCCCAUGCAGAACCAAAGAAUGGUGAUCCAUGUGCAACAAGUGCCAGUGCCAUGGAAACCCCCGUUUUCCCCCCAAAAUAUUCCUUUUUAUCCCUUUUGAAGACCUGUCACCGGGCAGAGCAGGCAUCACACGACCCCAGGCCAAGCCAUGACAAAGCCUAUUUUCUGCCUGCUCCUUGAUUGAUUAAAAAAGACUUUUUAGUAAAACCAUGUUAAAGGACACAAAAAGUGACACCCAGAAGAAAGGGCUCUCAGGGAUGACCCAAUCAGACGAGUUCCCUGGUAAUAUCGCGCAGAAAAAGGAGCAAUAUUAUAAUCAUCGCAAAAUAAGGAUGGGGGCAAGCGUGACACUUGACAAGAAAAGUGAUAGAGAUUUUGAUAGAAAAUAAAGCUUUGGAAAGUUACAACCAACUGAACAAAAGCAUUUAUUUACAUACAAUUUCAUAGGACAUGAUGCAGACUUCAAACUUAUAACAACAGGUUUGUUAUGCUUCUUUUUGUAUCUUAUAUCAGUCAUGAAAAGUGUGUGAACCUGAAUGUACUGACUGACCGUGAUUAACACUGCCCAGCCAACUCAGACGACACAUAUCACAUCAGCAUAUUCACACCAUAGUGUGCCCUGAGAUUAUUACACAUGCUUUUUACAUUAUGUUCUCUGCCACACUUGAGAGAAAAAUUAUACAUGUAGCGCUGUGGUUCACGUCUGUUAUGAGAUCAAUAUUCUAUGCAUCGGCUAUUUUCCUCCUCCAGUUGACCUAAGUGACAGACCAUUUAAAACUGAGAGCGACCGGCCCAGCAGGUCGGCACAGCAACAAAGAGAGAGCACAUUAUUAAUUUAUCUCAAAAGCACAGGUCGAUAUUAGAGGGCUAUUGCUUACAUGUUUUCUUUUUGUUGGCAAUUUUUGUGUCAUAUACGCUGCCUUGUAAUAUACCUGGCACUUUUCUGUGAUUCAGAAGCUGAGCCAGUGUGUCAAACAACACAAAAACCAGUGAUUCACAUAGACAAGAUAGAGUUUUUUCUAUGCAAUAUGUAUUAUUUUACAAAAACACAGAUAACUUCUGCAUUGAAGCAAGAAAGCAGUGUCUGUCUCUUUGUUUCUGUGUAGAGAUGUGAAGGAGAUAUUUACCAAGACGAUAGGGAGGGGUUGGGGGUACAGAGAGGAGGGGAGGCAUUAGAAGCGUCCACACAUGAGCAAUUAGUAUUCCAGAUCCUGAUGGUUCUAAACACAAAAAGGCCUCACCAAAUCCCCACGGCGGAGGUGUCAGACGGAAAAUGACGAAAAUCUGCUCCUUGACAGGGAGUCAUUUAUAUUUUAGCUUCGUUCCAUUAUCUUAACGAAUCCAUCAUCAGCCAAUGCAAUAUUAACAGCAGAAAAUCAACUCAUUAGAUCCAGGGGGAUUUAAUCAAGAUUGCAAUCAUGUAUGCGGUUCCUGGAGAGUUGGCUUCUUCUUUUUUUUUUUUUCUUUUUGGUCCUUUCCAUGUAAUUGCCACAUCUCAGAUCUUAAUAAAUUAUUCUCGAUCUGAGAUUGAUGCCUUUUUUUCCCUUGCCUCUCACGCCAUGCACUCACUGUCUCCAACUAUAAUAUUUACCAUAAACAUUAUUAUGUCAUGGGCACACAGUUUAAAAUGGCCUUUAGCUAACUCGCAGAAGUAAUUGGCUUCUCCAUUUCUCUCUCGUUUCCUUGCUAAUUGCCCAGUGAUAUUGCUAACAGUUCCCCCAGAAAGAAAGGGAAGGCCCCUUUUGCACAAGCUGGGAUAUGUUGCUAGGAUUUUUUCACCUUUAUAUGUGCAUGUAGAAAGAAUUUCCUGUGUUUGAUACUGCUUAACAAGACAAGCAAGCAGAUGAAAGAACAUUCCACUUUGAUAUGUAAAAAUUUAUGUGAAACCUUGGUAUCAGAGCGGAAAUAGAGACAGCUCAAAUUUCAGGUGGAAGGAUAUUUCUGUCUUGUUUCUUAGAAAAACACUUAGCAGAAAAAGGAACUGCACCAGAUGGAUGACUGCUGGAAAUGUAUAAUUUUUUCUAAUCUAAAUAAGCUUGGAUGUUUAAAGCAAUAGAGUCCUCUUUAAGUUUGUGCUGUCAUGGAUAAAUAACAUUUAUUUAUAACCCUUAGUUUCAUAAAACAAUUACAUCUGAAGGACAAUAAAACAUCAGAUAAAAUAGUCCCUGUACUCUUCAUUAAAUCUAUUUACACCAGGAAAGGCAAACCAGACCAUCAGUGAAAGGACUGAUAAAGGUGUUCCUUAAGGUAAAGUGCUCAACAGAAGACUGACAUGUCAAUCUACCUUUUACAAAGCUCAUAUUCUCAAUAGGUGUUGAAAGCAACUGCUGAACGUCAAGACAAAGCUUUGUCCACAAGGGGCACCAAAACUGACGAAACCAAAAGUUACUUACGGUAGCUUUCAAGUUGAAUGCUUUUCAUAUUUAACUACGAACAUGACUCAAAGUAACUCAGUAGACUUAUUAUUAACAGACAGCAAAAACUAACAUGAGUCGUAUUAAACUAUUAAUGUAGCUCCCCAGUGUGAAGUUAAAAGGUUUUUGGAUAAACUAUCGUUGAAUGAUUUUAUAAUUUGCCAGGAAAGCGAUCCAGUGAGUGCCGAUGACUGUACAUCAUUACCAUCAGAAAUUGAACUUAAAAUGUUAUAGCACAUUAUGAAGGAGUAUUUGCAGUCCUUUCAUCAUAAUGACUGACAGCACUGUCCAUUAGCACACUGUCCUGGGACAAGGUAAACAUUUAACCAAAGCAGACAAACUAUUCUCCAGGGUUUACUAUUGUCAGUUAUCUUCCAUGAAUUGGCUGUGAAACCUAUGCUUUUCGAAAGUAAACAGCAUUUUUUAACACAACAUUUAUACUAUCUCACCUCAGAGCUGUCCUGUUAUCGGUGUAAAAGGCGAAACGUAAACUCAUAUUAAGUGUUGUACAGUUAUUGUUACAGUUUUAUGUCUGAUUUGUAGAUGCUUCAUGGAAAAAUGUAUCUUUUACUGUAAGAAGAGAGUGGGGCUGGCUCCACUUUACACAGUGGUGUAAUCAUGUGUUGUGUCUGAGUGUGGGAGACAUUAGCAGCUUUUUGCUGCAGUACAGGAAAAUAGCAGCGGAUCAACAAUAAACAUAAUUCAAAGCUGAUUUUUUUUUCAGCUUUUAAAUUUGUUGAUGUACAAAGCUCAUUUGAGGUGCCGGUGCUUUAUUUCCACCCAUUUAUCAAAAGGGAACAUAUGGUCAGAAUGCAUUUUCCUAUUAGUGCCAUAAUAGAAAUACAAAAAGGAACCACAUCAUGACCUGUUUUGUGAUUAUCUGUUUGCAGAAUCUACUAACAUAGAUCUGCACCUAUCUUCUGUUUCUGUGGCAGCAGGGCUUCUUCCUCUCACAGACAGGAUUAACUCCUAACAUGUUCAACAUGAUCCAAAAGUGUAAAAACUGUCAAAGAGACCUUUAAUCUGCCUAUGGAACAAAGCCUUUUGUACAAGGACUAACCUGACCUUGUCACAGUGAGUUUAACUUGCUGUCUGUUAGGCAAUAUAAAGCCUGAGCCAGCCUGACUCCUCUACCCCCUCCCUCUAAGUCUUCCUCUCUCUCUCUUUCUCAGCGCCUCAGUCUGUCUCUUUCUCCCCAUGCAGAGAAUUGAGGGGGGAUGAAGCAACAGCUCCAAAUGCUGUGUUAAUCCCUGUUUCUCUGAGAUGGCCAAUAGUAAAUCCAAGCCCUCUGUAAACCAAUCUCGGAGUUUUUUAUCUUGAUUUAUUAGAUUACGAGUCCCGGGUCCCUGAGCCCAUGCAACACAUACUAAUCCUAAUCGGAAUAGACAAGUAUUAGCCCAGUUCAAGGGGAGCUAAACAGCAGCAGUGGCCAACUUUCAGUAAGAGGGAAACUACAAGCUUAUAGGCUUGAUGGGGCUUUUUAUCCCUUUUUCCUUUUUUCUCCACUUACAUUAGUAGAAUGAGUGUGUAAUUAAAUACAUAAAUCCUGACACACAAACCCUCAAAAGGCCUAAAACCACUGAACCCCGUCCAGUUUGGCUUUCUUCCCCCUGCACAAUGAAGUUACUGAGCCAAGCCCAAUCAUUUGUAUUUUUCUCAGAAUUUAACAGAGAGCAAGGCAAACAUGAAAGUCCCAUUGAAAACAACUGCAAGAAUUAAUUUUACAUCUCAGUGAAUUCAAGGCAGCGUUGUCAAAUUAUAAGCAACAGGGCAAUGUAACUAAUUUCCCUUGGUCCAGAGAGUGUUAAAAAAAAAAAGUAAUGAAUCACUUUUCAUCUGUGAUAAUAAAUCACACAUAAUUAGAAAGGUGUCUCUCCUCUGUUUGCUUUCUGUGGGCAAACAGAGGCCACCAAAACGUCAGAACUGGUCACAUUUUUGUUACUAACCUUAAACCAAAAUGAAAGGAUCAUCUUAAGCAUAUUGUAAAUUGCUGGUUUCGCACCGCUUUCAACCAAUCCAGCCAGUGCGGAGAGCAACUGGGUUAGGUUGGAUGGAGUCCAUGUGACACAUGAGGCCAGGGCUGGGGAACAUUAAGAAGUGUCUGCUUGUACACUAAUGCUGGUGGCAGCUGUUAGUCUGCCAAAAACUGCAGCAGCAGCAGCAAGGAUAUCCUGAAAUACUAUUGAAAACCACUAAACCUCCUCCUCGCUGAUGUAAAGCUAUACAGCUGCUCGGCGCCAGCACAAUCACUGAUCAAUCUGGGAAAGUUAAAAACAGAGCCGGGUUCGUGGGCUAAAUCUGCUGCUUUUUCUGCUUGGAAGGUCAAAUUGGUGAUCUUUGAACAACACAGAGCCUCUUUUUUUCUGUAUUCAUUCAUGUUUCUGAGGCAGCAUACGUUUAAGAAUUUGAGUCCUGGUGCUGUAAAUGUGUAUGUUUGUAUGUCUGUGACUGUGUCCCCGCAUGACUACAUACAGGUUUUAGUGGCAUCUCCAUAGCGCAGAGGUUGCUCCUGUCCGCUGCCCUCGGGGGUGACAAGGGAGCUAAGGGAGAUGUGACAGCAAUGCCUGCUCCCUGUAUGUGUUUGUUUGCCCCUGAAAAUGAGACACCGGUUUCACUCCAGCCCCUUGGGCAUGUUUAGCUCUGCUUUCACCACAACGCCUUCAUCUGAUACAAAGUGGAAGUCCCACUGAUAAUAAUAUGUAUCUGUACUAGUGGAGUGAAAGUGGAUACAUAUUCACUCCAGAACAUGUAAAAAGUCCAUUGAUUAUUCCCUGUUUUUCUUCCUGUUUCAAACCAAAAGCCUGAAAGGAUAAAAGAACAAGGAUUUCCCUUAGCACUACAAAUCAUGAUACAAUAAAGAGUGUUCGACCAACACAACAUAUCUUGUUGUAAUGUCACCAUAAAAAGCCUAACACAGCAGCACGUUGGGUAUAAUGUGAUGGAAAACAUCCAUGAUUCAAUAGUUUGCAUGCCAAAUAAAAGUGAGGAAUGGAUUUCCUUUGCUCUUGUGUUUUGUCCUCAGACCUAAGUGUCACCAAGUGUACUUUGCAAAGAAUAUUCAUUUCCUUAGGAAGGCCUUGUCAGCCUUGUGACCCAAUCCAUAUCCAUUCUGUCCUGUCUGCCCUCGCUGGUCCCUGCCUCUUUUCUGUAAGUGGCAGAUAUUUCACCUGCCUAUCAGUUUCCCUUUAAACGUGCUGGUAUAUGCAGGAAAGGCGCCCAUAUAGGGUCACUGAGUGUCCUCUAUGAGGUCCUCUUUGAAGCUACUAUCUUUCUGGCUCUACCACCCCCACUUCUUCUAUCACUCAAAUUACAACAUGUGGAGGUCACUGGUAGAAAUAGGUUCAACAGAGCUGAUUAACUUUGAUCUCAGAUAUUAUUGGGAUGGAAAAAGCACAAGUCUUUGGUGACUCCUGACUUCAGAAGAGAAGCAUAAAUUCAGGUCUCCUCUAAUAUAUAUUUACAACAGGGAAAUGGUAGCCUUCUUUCAUUUUUCUCCAGUGACUGGAGCAGAGCCUGGAGGAUGUUUGGUAAUGUAGAUUUUGCUUUACUACAGAGUAAACUGUAUUUACAAAAGCAGAAUUGUGUAUGCAGUCAACAGCAAAACACAGUUUCCAACCAAAUAAUGUGAAUCAGAAGACUUUCAUGCAGAAAUGUGCAGCGGGAAAGAAAGCAGCUGCUCCAGUGUGAGGAAGGUAGGAGGAGGUUAAAAGGAGUCAAUGGAGGCUAAAGAGACAGCAGGUCUACCGAUGACAGAAAAAGUGGCCAGGGACUCCAGUUCAGGACUUCUGGAAACCACAUCAAACAGACCAUGGAGCGCUGCCAAGAUGAACACACACCAACUGUUGCAAAAAAAAAAAAAAAAAGAAGAGAGAGGAAGAGAGGAAGGAGGGGGGAGCAAAUGGAAAAAAGGAAGGUUAAGUCACAAAAAAAUGUAUGUUUGAGGAUCAGAGGAAAGGAAAAAUAGAAUUUUGGGGGGAUUUUUUUACCCAUUCAUGGAGAAAAAGAGAGAAGACAGGGGAAAAGGAAAACUUCAGUGGCAGAAUGUUUCCAAGAUUAAAUAAAUUCAUCAAUGGCAUUAAAAGGAAAAGUGUCUGAAUAUUCCGUUUAAACUGUGGGGUUCUUGGAGAGUGCUCUUUCCCUUAGUUUUCCUCAUUCACUUUAUUUUCCACCCUGCUUUUAAAAACCACCACAUAAGAACAGGUGUGAACUUGCUGCCUAAGUCAAAAGCAGGGUAUGAGCAUAUAUAAACACAGACAGCUUAUGGGAAUGUAAUUAAAGUUCGUAAAGCAUAGCUCCACCAAAAAAAGAACGCAUGUGUGUUAUUGCACAACAAAUUACAUGAUUUUAGCUCAGCCCAUCAGCCUGGAUGUUGCACUGAGAAACACAAUACUGUUAAUGUAGAACCUCGAUAAAUACAGCAGAAUAAAUCUGCAGUAUUUCUCUGCUAUAGAGUCAAAACGUUCAAAAAUUUAAGUGUUUUUCUUCACUGGUUUCUCUGCAAGCUGAAAAUCUUUGUGUCAAGGACAAUCUGGGACUUUUGGCACAACUUUAAAUACUUCCAGGAUUUAUAAGAUCUUAAUCCAGCAAACUCUCCUUAAAUUUAUCCAUGUUGGGUCAAAUUCACAGGGCAGUUAUUCAGGUGUUUUCAGUCUUGAACUGUCUGAGUCUUCAGGUCAGAUGAAGAGAAGGAUAAGGUCCAUGUUAUUAGACUACUGACUUCUGUGGCUAGACAGGAUACACAGACAGAAAAUGAAAAAAAUAAAAGGUGGCGUAAGACUGUAGGAAAAAAAAAUACGGUGAUAAUGAGUUUGAUUUUUAUCUAAGGGAGCAAGUCAUGAGACAACUUUAGUCAUCUGGCCAAAAAUCUGGAUCCAAACCAAAAAUCAAGUCUUAACGAUAAUUAGGGAUAGAGGCUAGAGAAACCUCAGUGUGCAAUAAAUCAUAUUUAUAUGUAUAUUCUGUACACAUGUAUGCUUAUUCUGUGUAUAUAGUCAUACAUAUAAACAUCUCAAUAUUUCAACUGUAAUAAAACAUGUACAUAACAGCUGUAAAUAAUGUAAAUAACACUAAUGUGGAUGUCUUUUUUACCUCUUUUUAGCUCCUUAGUUUUUUCAUUCUUAAUGCUUUAAUUUCUCUUCUGUAUUUAUCGCUACUGUAAAUUUUUGAAUUUUCCCUUGUGGGACAAAUAAAGGAAUAUCUUAUCUUAAACAUUGACAGGAAUUGCAGUUAGAGCUUCUCCGAUGUUUUUUUUGUCAGAUUUUUAUAAGUCCAAUUAGAUAGAUCACCUUUGAUUCCCCCCAAAUUGUAAAAUGUUUUUAGUAGUCAAAUAACAGACUAAUUCUCAAGUCAAGAAAAAUGGUCAAAAAUGACUUCUUGCUGUCCUUUUUGUUCAGUGCUUGGUGCAUAAAGCGAUUAUAUUCUUUAUUCCAGGGCUGAAACAAUCACUGUAUUUGUGUUGUGUGUAUGCUUGUAUCUGUAUGAAAAACAAAGGAGCAAUUCAGUGAGAGUCCUGGUUCUGUUUUGGCUGGGGAUCCUACAUAUUUCUGCCAACUUUACCCAGUAACAAACAGAAUAAUGACACAGAAAGCAAAACAAAGAAUUACCCAAUUUUCAAACCGCUGACCUGGUCCUUGAGCACACUGACACACAAUCUAAUUUGAUGAACUAAAUCACUCUAAAUAUUCCAAAUCAAGGUGCUGAUUCCUUACAAAAAAGGUCCAACCGAGUGUCCAGAAGCAGUCCCACAGCCUGCAGCCAGGCCCCAUUCUCAGAGCUAUCAGGACCAAGCCACUUGUUCAGAGGAGCACCUGACUAAUACCCACUAUAAUGUCACUUCUAUAUUUGUAUCCUGCUAAUCUGCUCUCAGGCUCCAAUCUUUUCCACUUUCUUGCAAAUUUAUCACUAGACUAAAGGCUGGUGCCAGAUCCUAAGUGCCUCACCCUUUUAAAUUAAAUUGUGGCAUUUGUGAUAAAGCCACUAAAUUCCUUAUCUAACUGCCCUGAAGAGUCUUUCAAGGCAAAGUGUCACUUUUCUGAAACUGGAGCACUUGUGACGCCAUUCAGCCAGCCCUAACCAACUGUCCCACACACACACACACACACACACACACAUGCACACACUCACGCACUCACAGACUGACAGUUUUCUUGUCCUUUUCAAGGACACAAUCAGGUCAAAAAUAGAACAAACACAAGUGAGGCAUGCGAUGGAACAUACGGGCACUUUUUCAGAAGAGGUUUCAUAAAUAGACUGUCAGGCUGUUCUAGCUUCACAUUUGAGCUGUUCGCUGGUAAAACUUUCUUAUUGAACAAUUAUGUUUUAGUGAGCAAUCUCAGACUUUGAUAACUCACCACAAGAAAGACCUAUGGAAGAAAAUCCCCAAUAAUGUGCUUCACUCCCAGUUAGCUGUGAAUUUAUUCAAUACUCAGCAAGGUGAUGUACUGAGACAAAACUGAGGAAAUGACAUGAAGACAUUGCAUGUGUUUUAUACAUUGCAAGAUCUACAUCAUUUCAACAAAACUUAAACUAACCCCCGUCUAAAAUGUGCAAAACUUACUCCAAUCGUUAUUUAAAGUUACAGCCAAGCCAACAUCUUUAUCUUAGGUUAAGCUGCCCUUGCCUGGACUCAAUACAACUCCGGCCUGUCAAUACAUUUUUGUUCACUUCCUUCCCAUUGUGGAUUCAUGACCUAAUAAGGCACUGUCUGAAUUCUGGAGUUAUUUUGAGUUUGUGUGAUAAUGCUCACUCUAACUUUGUCCCUCUUUAGAGACUCUAACAGGAGGCAAGCAGGAACUCCAAGAGAAUGCCACUUUGAUCAGAUAACAGCAGAGCAUGAGGACUGUGAAAUAACAAGUUAGACUAUUAUCAACAUUUAUGCAUUUUCAUUGACACUUGAACUAUUAACACUUUCACUAAAACCUCAAUUCCUAAAAAAGUUGUGACCCUGUAAUUUUGAUUUUGAUGGUUUGCAAUCUCCUCAAAUUCCCCAAAUUAGGAAUUAGGAGAUUUUAUCAUGCAGAUACAUAAACUGAUUUAAAGUCCCUCUCCAAUCUUUUUUUUAUUUAAAGUGUCAUCAGUGGUCUUUAAAUUGUGAUUAUGAAGGUUUUAGCCAAAAUCACAUUACCUGUGUCAUUGUCAAGCUCUUUUCUUCUGCAGAGCUCCAGUAGCACAUUAGCAAUUUGCCUCUGAGUCGUGGGCGGAAACAGCGCUGCUAUGCACACUCCUCUUCACGCAAGCUUGCAGCCUAACAUUGCCAGUGUAGUAGAAGUAGCAGGUAACAUAGAAGCAAUUCAGCUCUUAGAUGCCAAUGUCUUUGGGGACAUGAUGAAAGUUAAUAUCAUAAUUAGCUUUCUUAGAGCAAUGCAAUCCACUAAAGCACAUGCUUGUCCUGCAAUCAUUCUCGCUAUCUCUCCAGCGGGUCUCCGGGGGAAGAGCUUGGAAUUGUGACAUAGGAAAUCUUACUGUGUCUGAACCUGCAGUUUAGGUCUUCCGGAGAUUCACAGUGAUUUGAAUGCAGAAAUACUCAGAAAUGUAAUUUUGUGCUUACUUUUCUCAUAAUGUGUCAGGAACAGGAAAAACAUGAUUUUCAUCAGAGUGGGUCUUUAAAGAUUUAUAAAAUCUGGAGAAAUCUCUGUCAAAAAUGAACUAGACCAAAACCCAGCUCCAGAUCUUCAGGCUCUCAGGCAGCACUGCUUAGACGGACAUGACUCUGUAAUGGAAAUGACUGUAUGGGCUCAAGAUUACAUCCAAGAACCACUGUCUGCUUCCAAAAACAAAAAAGACAGAAAUUUGUGCCAUGCAAAAGGCAAACAUAUAUCAUAUACUGUACAAACAUGAUCCCACUUACACUGGACAGUAACAGAGAGGAAAACUGCCUUGUAGUCUGAAUAUUUAAAACUUGCAUUCUGGAAAUCAUGAGCACAGUCCAAAAUCCAGUAUCUGUGAUAGUAUGCAUGUGCAUACAUUUAGGAUGACACCAUUAAUGCUAAAGGGUUUAGGUUUAGCAUUUGGCUUUCCAUUGUGUUUGUCUUAUUUGCGCAGUAUUUUAUUUUCAUGUAGCACAUCUUGCAAACCUUAUAUAUAUUUGUUGUACUCACUUUCUCCUGCUCUAUGAUGUCACCUCUUCCAACAUCACCAAACAAACCGUUGAUUUUAUUUUUCCAUUAUCAUAGAUUUGACUUCAUAUUAACAAUUACUUUGAAAAAAAUGGAUACUUGAUAAAUAAAACAAUACGAUAUAUCACCAGACAACAUAUUGCCAUACUAUACUGUAUCAAUUUUUUCUCCAACCCCUACAUGACACAGAUUAUAAAGGAAACCCUAAACUGUCCAGCAAAUGAAAUCCUAUGCCAGGCAAAACCAGGUCAUCAUUUCACUCUAAAAACUUAAAAAACUGGUUCCCUAAACUCCCCCCAAAAUUAAACUGUGAUAUUUAGAGAGGAGGAAACACAACAACAACAACAACAAUUAACAUACCCUGGUUUUUAUCGAUCAUGUUGUCAUAAAAUGUCAAAAGGGCAUAUAUUUCUCACAAAAGAUAACAUUUUUCAGUUUGAACACUUGGCAUGUUGUCUUUGCCCUACCAUCAACUAGAUAUGGUUUAAAUGUGGUUUUAAUGACCACAAUUAGUUUCUGUUAUCAUUUUACAAAGCUUCCCAACUUUCAUGGGAUCGGGGUUACCAUAGUAAUCAUGAUGAACAUUCUUACUUACUUUCAAUAGCAGGACAAACUGUAAAGGGCAGUGUAAGCUGACAAAGAUUCUAGCUGUUGUAUUUUUAGAUAAAAUACUACACCAGUUUAUGAACAGAAAGAGUACUUAGACAAAUACUGUGAAGCAUAUAUAUUGGUGCUUUUUUCAGUGCCACUGUUUUCUGUGCUUUAUGUAUUUCUUCAGUUCCUAAUCUGUUUUUGAUAUGGUCAGAUGUGACUUCCUACCCCAGCCCGUUCCAUUGUUUUCCUGCAUUUUUUUGUGGAAUGAGGUUAAAACAAACUGUUCCGAUGUAGAAGGUCAAAAAACAUUGUUAUGAAACUAAGAAAAUGAGACUAAAGGUGACAGCAUGAGACCAACAGGGUAUUCCUGUUCCUGAGCAAGGCUCUGUAAACACAACUCUGUUGAUCUAUAAUGAAGAGGGAAAAAAUCUCCACUUUGGCACUGUGGGCUCCUUGCAGUGAUACUUCUCUUAAUCUCAGUCUCAUGUGUUUAUUUAUCAGUUUUCAAAUUUGUACGCUGAAGGACUCCUUGAUUAUUUAGACAAGACACAGGAGUAUUUCCCGGGCCAACAGUGUGACAUCUCUGCUGCAAGGAUCCAAGCAAGCAGUUUGCUUAAUGCUUGACCCCUGACCUCUCCUGGGUAAUAAUGCCUUCAUAUCUAUCCUCACACACGUAGCAGCACUGAACAAUCACAUAUUCAGAUGCCUUGAGAGGUUUCACAAAGCUGUGAGAAACACUAAGGAAUAACUAAGCUGUGUUCAAAGAAGUUUCUCCUUUAAGCAACUCUUGUGUCUCAAAUUCCUCAAUCUAGUGUGUCUAAUUUACCUUUAUAUGUAAUUUCCAACUCAAAAAAAAAGAAGUUGGGUCUAACCUGCUUUACAUAAAAAAAAAAAAAAGAAAAAACAUGUCCCAGUCCCUAACCUUUCGAGAAUGUUUUGCCGCCCUUCAGUUUUUCUCCUCACAGAGCCAAAGGAAAUCAGCAUUUAGCUCUUUAAGCAGCACUUCCAGAGAUCCCGAUUGCCCUCUGGUUAACAUCUCUCCCAUUUCCAUUUUCUUCACUUUUUUCCACACAUUCACGCUCUCAGCUGUUCCUCGCUUUAGUCACACUCGUUUCACACAAUUCAUAAAAUCUGCCACAAAGUCAUGAAAGCAGCAACUGCAAGCUGAGAACUGCUUGCAAAAAUAAAGGGCUCUCAGAAUAGAUAAAUAAAAUCUCUGUUAUCCAGCUGCCCUCCUUAAAUCACUCCCAACCCCUUCAACAAGUGGUCACAAGCCGAGGCAAAGCAGACUCUUUCAAUAGCACAUGACAACCACAAAAGAGGAUUCUUUUAGAUUCCAAAACUGAUUGCUUAAGUUUUACAAGUAAAAACUGGGUUGAAACUGUAUCUUUGAACAUAAUUACAGUAUGUCCUUGUAUCAUCCUUCCUGUUGGUAAAGUAACCGCUUACUGCCCUGCAUACAUUCCUGGGAAUAAAAAGAAAACACUCUCAAAGAGGGGAAGUGGGAGGUUUUGUCAAGCUUAUUUUAAGUCAAUAUUUCAGGACUUCAGCUUUUCUGAGAGAGGAAACGGAUUGAGUGCACACAUAAGCACCAGGUCUGACAUUCCCCAUAUUUCACAGAUCCAUCACAGUAUGGGGGUUCACAUGUGGAAGGAAGUUAUAAUAAACCAAGAGGUUAAGCACUGUAAAAAUCUGCUUGUUUUCUUUUUCAUGUUUUGUUGAGUGAGACUGAAUCCCACAACUCCAUGGCCUGCCAAAGUGAUUAAGUUUUUACUGUGCUGGCUCUGGUGCUUCAGUUUGAGCAGAGCAGUCCCAAACACUUCAUCUCUGAAGGCCCAAACAUACAACUGCAGCCGCAGCGCACGAGCAAGCAGAAGUUGCUAGAGUUACUAAACAUGUGCUGCUAUGAGCCUGCCAGAUUUCCAACCAGCUGCUAAUAUCAGAGCAUUUUAGCUUUUUUGGAGAUUGAUCAAACACAGUCAGAACACCCCCUACAGAGUAUAAUAAGUUACUGUGAGUGGGAUUUAAGUGCCUUUAGAAGAACACUGCAAUUGUUGUACAAGUGAAGUGAAAACAUUGUUCUACUCUAUCAGACUUUUGACAACAGUAAAAGAUAAAAUGAACAUUAUCUGACGGAUUAUCAAACAGAUAAAAAAGAUAAAGGCUUCAGAGAUUAUUUUCCUAACUAACUCUUAUUCAGAUAAAAGCCAAAAUCUUCACGGCUUCCAUUAUGUUAAGGUGUUUGUGACACACAGACAAACAGCACAUACAAAAGCCACUGUACAAGUGGUGUCCUUUUCCUUUCACACAGCUGAGAGCGCAGUGGUCAGACUCACCGAGACAACAGAUCCACAGCCAGCCGAGGGACGCUCUCUCUGAAAUCCCUACAAUCAGGCUGCAGAUAAAUGCUAUUUUGUGCUGACUGCAUUGUCUCCUGCCUCUAUUCUUGUAAUCUAAUGUGUGCAACAUGCUCUUGGUCACCUUGACUUUGGUUGCCAUAGUGCUCAACACAAACAUAUCCCCACCCAGAAAUACACCAAAUAAGGCUUGGGGGAAAAAUCUCAUAAUCAGGAGGCACAGAGGGAGAGGCAGAUAUCACCUUAAAUAUAUUGUAAACAGGUCAAAGCUAUUCCAGUGUGUACAUACACAAUGAUUGCGAGAGGUUACUGGUGACACACACGCACACAGCCUGGCUAAUUAGUAUACAACAAUAAUUGUCCUAAGCUCAGCUAUUGUUGACUCAAAGAAAAUGAUAAUUGGGUGGGCAUCAACAAAAAAUAAAUUGAAGUUCUUUGGAACAGAGAGGUCUUUCAGGACGAGUCUGUUUGUACUAAAAAUGACCUUUAAACACCUUCCUGCAACACAGAGGAAUCAGGCUACAAGAAGGCAGCCGUCCUGUCUCGCUGUCGACCCCGGCAGAUGUGAGUUCUGAAGAGUUCAAAAGAAUUCUGCACGAGGGCACCGCCAUUUACAUAAUCCUCCAGAUAUAUUCCCCUGCAACCUAAUCAAAUUAUUCACAAGUCUAGCCCCUAACUACGUAGACCUCGUGGUACACAGCCUUUCCAUUACCAGUGUGUGAGCCACAAUCCUAUCGAACCAGCCAAUGUCACUUCUCCCCUCAGAAUGGCCGAUAGACGCGGCAAACAAAGCAGGGUUGUGUCUGACACACAAAGAUUCCAGACAAACAACAUCUUUCCCCUCUUGUCCACUUUGUUUGGCAUUUCUUACUGCCGUGGGAUUUUAUUUACUUUGAAGAACAGAGCUCACGAAGAGAGAGAGAGAAUUUUAUCACUGGAAGUACACAAUCUUAAGACAAUAGGACAUUAUGUUUGAAUGAUGCUUUCAAGGCAAGUUGGCUGUUGUAGUAAUUAACAGAGCAGAGAUGGAGCUAUUGAGAAUAAUUUUGAAAGACAACCACAGAUGACACAAGGGAUUUCGAUCAUCAUGGGGUUGGGUUCCCUCAGGGCCUAAUCCGAAAAGAAGAUAACUUAAACUGCUGAUUCAAGUACAGGUCUGAUAUUUGCAUUAACACAAAUUCCAAGCCUAAAAAUAUCGUGUUUGUUCUAGUUGUCUAUUUUGUUUCUCACAAAAAGCUUGAUUUUUUUUUCUUUUUUUUAAAUACAACAACAACAAAACAAUGCACUUCUCCAAGAAGUGUUUUUUAAUGUCAAAGUUUGACUAAUAUUGUGCACAAAGCAUAAAUAAUAACCUUAUAAAAAAGGAUCUGAACUCCCUUCUGCCUUAUUUUCAGCAUCAGACUUUGCAUUGUGUGAGUCUGGCAAACAUCAUCUCAUUGUUAAUCAGCCUGUUGUUGCUUUGUGUUCAAUCUGCUGCGGGGGGUAAAGGGUUAAUGGAUCAGCCAAAGUUUACAUCCCAUAUGCGGUCAAUUUUCAAUGACUUCUUUUCCCACAUUGAAAUAAACUAUUUUAUGUCUCCAAAUAUGCAGAUCAUUUUGCUUAAUGAAAGAUGCUUGACGUCUCAGAUCCAAUUAAUAUGCAAAUGCAAGUGAGGAUUUAUUUGUGACAUUCUGUAUGGGUGAGAGAAAACAAAAAGGCUUCUUAACAGUAACACUAAUUGCUGUGACUGAUUGUCACAUAUCAUCAUUCACACUGAAUCUUCUAAAUACCAAAUUUCAGAUAAAAACUCUUACAUGCACACAGUUAGAUGUAUUUGUUUUGUUGCUUAUUAGUCUUUUUUUUACGCUGUAACAUGCAGCUUGCCUUGUUUCUGCAUGAUGAGACCUGUGCCAUCCUCUACAGUAUGACAGCUGUAGUUUGAUUUAACACAAAGUGAGAAAAUGACAAAGUAGGAGAAAUUCUUCUUUCUGUAUCUUUAUUGUCAUCACUAGUUACAUAAUGUUUAAAAGCCCCAUCUUAUAUUUUGAGUGCUCUGUUGAUAUCUAUUUCACCUGCACUAAAUUACAUAUCAAAAAGACUCAGUGGCUUUCAUAGUUUCUUCUCCUGAUUACUGAUUAACACUUUUAAAAACAGCACUGUGUAAAGGCUGCAUAGGACAGUUGUAAUGUCAACAUUAAGUGUCACAUCUACAGAUUUUAUGGCCUUCACACGUCCCAUCUCCAUUUUAACUCAUCAAAAAGCCAGACAAAUACAAUUCAUUCUGACAUGAAAAUCCUUCAAUCAGUGAUGUAUUUAUCACUGUAAAAUAAAAUCGAUAAUGUAACUCAACUAUUAAAAUCCUGUAAUGGAUGAAGCAAUAUACUUAGAGGUUUGCAUCAUCCCAAAGCUUUAAUGCCCAUGGCAAUAUACAGAAGAGAGCUUACAUUUCAAGAGCCGUAAAGCGUGACUGACACCUAUUGUAAUGUAUCUCUUCAACAUACUCCAUUCAUUGGGUGGAUGUGUUUGUCUGAAUCAAAAGUCCGAAUAGUUAUCACAGGUCCAGCAC